UGAUUGUGCGUAAGUUUUUGAUCACUGAGUAUAUUAUUUUUUAGCGUGCAUUUUUCUGUGCCUCUUUCGAGACCGUGAAAAAAACAACAACCAGAACCUCGGUCGCGAAAAGUUUGUUCCGUUUUUUCCUUCAAGGAUGCAGAAAAACAGCGAUGGGACAUUGUGCGGCCUACGGCUUGAGGAAACAGUUCAACGAACCGUUCAACAAAAGGAGAAUUGAAGACCCGGCUACCGUUUGGGCCACAAGAAAAAUACGCAUCAAAAACGAUUUCAAACCACGUCCGUAGAAACAUCUUCCUGUUACACCGACGGACUUGUACCCCGGCAGCAGCAUCACCAGAACACCAUCUAAGAUAUAAUCCCGAUCCUUGCUUACUCAUUCCGGGAGGGCCAAUAGACGACCGACGAUUUUUUGUAAUUUUCGAGCUUCGGAAUGCUCAACGGGAACGAGCAGGACGGAUAAUGAAAAUUCUGAUUUAAGCUCAAGUUUUGUGUUUAUAAAUAAUAUAACAUAAUGAAA
rnacentral:lncRNA from 1 species